AUCCAAAUAACGAGUCCCAAAUAGGACGAAACGCGCGUCAAUCUGGAU
rfam:Schistosoma rodhaini strain Burundi genome assembly, scaffold: SROB_scaffold0006950